rnacentral:rRNA from 1 species
UGCCAGCCGCCGCGGUAAUACUCAAGGUGCAAGCGUUAAUCGGAAUCACUGGGCGUAAAGCGCUCGUAGGUGGCUUUGUAAGUCAGAUGUGAAAGCCCACGGCUCAACCGUGGAAUUGCGUUUGAAACUGCUGUGCUUGAGUCUCGGAGAGGUUGGCGGAAUUCCAGGUGUAGGAGUGAAAUCCGUAGAUAUCUGGAGGAACACCGGUGGCGAAGGCGGCCAACUUGACGAGUACUGACGCUGAGGUACGAAAGCGUGGGGAGCAAACAGGAUUAGAUA